UUUCCAGCCUUGAAGAUUGAAAUCCUCUAUGCACAGAACAGAUACAGCAUGGCAGCAGCUGUGCAAGUUUGUUCCUACAGGCUGCACAAUGUGCCUCAGCCUAACCCUUGCUUGCUGGUAACUAUGUAUGGAUGAGAGAGAACAGUUUGCUCCUCAAGGUUCAUUCAGUUUGCUCCU
rnacentral:sRNA from 1 species